UAGCGAGCUUAACCGAAUAGGGGAGGCGUAGGGAAACCGAGUCUUAAUAGGGCGAACAGUUGCUGGGUGUAGACCCGAAACCGAGUGAUCUAUCCAUGGCCAGGUUGAAGGUGCCGUAACAGGUACUGGAGGACCGAACCCACGCAUGUUGCAAAAUGCGGGGAUGAGCUGUGGAUAGGGGUGAAAGGCUAAACAAACUCGGAGAUAGCUGGUUCUCCCCGAAAACUAUUUAGGUAGUGCCUCGAGCAAGACACUGAUGGGGGUAAAGCACUGUUAUGGCUAGGGGGUUAUUGCAACUUACCAACCCAUGGCAAACUAAGAAUACCAUCAAGUGGUUCCUCGGGAGACAGACAGCGGGUGCUAACGUCCGUUGUCAAGAGGGAAACAACCCAGACCGCCAGCUAAGGUCCCAAAUGAUAGAUUAAGUGGUAAACGAAGUGGGAAGGCCCAGACAGCCAGGAUGUUGGCUUAGAAGCAGCCAUCAUUUAAAGAAAGCGUAAUAGCUCACUGGUCGAGUCGUCCUGCGCGGAAGAUGUAACGGGGCUCAAAUCUAUAACCGAAGCUGCGGAUGCCAGUUUACUGGCAUGGUAGGGGAGCGUUCUGUAGGCCGAUGAAGGUGCAUUGUAAAGUGUGCUGGAGGUAUCAGAAGUGCGAAUGUUGACAUGAGUAGCGAUAAAGCGGGUGAAAAGCCCGCUCGCCGAAAGCCCAAGGUUUCCUACGCAACGUUCAUCGGCGUAGGGUGAGUCGGCCCCUAAGGCGAGGCAGAAAUGCGUAGUCGAUGGGAAACAGGUUAAUAUUCCUGUACUUGAUUCAAAUGCGAUGUGGGGACGGAGAAGGUUAGGUUAGCAAGCUGUUGGAAUAGCUUGUUUAAGCCGGUAGGUGGAAGACUUAGGCAAAUCCGGGUCUUCUUAACACCGAGAAGUGACGACGAGUGUCUACGGACAUGAAGUAACCGAUACCACGCUUCCAGGAAAAGCCACUAAGCUUCAGUUUGAAUCGAACCGUACCGCAAACCGACACAGGUGGGCAGGAUGAGAAUUCUAAGGCGCUUGAGAGAACUCGGGAGAAGGAACUCGGCAAAUUGAUACCGUAACUUCGGGAGAAGGUAUGCCCUCUAAGGUUAAGGACUUGCUCCGUAAGCCUCGGAGGGUCGCAGAGAAUAGGUGGCUGCGACUGUUUAUUAAAAACACAGCACUCUGCUAACACGAAAGUGGACGUAUAGGGUGUGACGCCUGCCCGGUGCUGGAAGGUUAAUUGAAGAUGUGAGAGCAUCGGAUCGAAGCCCCAGUAAACGGCGGCCGUAACUAUAACGGUCCUAAGGUAGCGAAAUUCCUUGUCGGGUAAGUUCCGACCCGCACGAAUGGCGUAACGAUGGCCACACUGUCUCCUCCCGAGACUCAGCGAAGUUGAAGUGGUUGUGAAGAUGCAAUCUACCCGCUGCUAGACGGAAAGACCCCGUGAACCUUUACUGUAGCUUUGCAUUGGACUUUGAAGUCACUUGUGUAGGAUAGGUGGGAGGCUUUGAAGCAGAGACGCCAGUCUCUGUGGAGCCGUCCUUGAAAUACCACCCUGGUGUCUUUGAGGUUCUAACCCAGACCCGUAAUCCGGGUCGGGGACCGUGCAUGGUAGGCAGUUUGACUGGGGCGGUCUCCUCCCAAAGAGUAACGGAGGAGUUCGAAGGUUACCUAGGUCCGGUCGGAAAUCGGACUGAUAGUGCAAUGGCAAAAGGUAGCUUAACUGCGAGACCGACAAGUCGAGCAGGUGCGAAAGCAGGACAUAGUGAUCCGGUGGUUCUGUAUGGAAGGGCCAUCGCUCAACGGAUAAAAGGUACUCCGGGGAUAACAGGCUGAUUCCGCCCAAGAGUUCAUAUCGACGGCGGAGUUUGGCACCUCGAUGUCGGCUCAUCACAUCCUGGGGCUGUAGUCGGUCCCAAGGGUAUGGCUGUUCGCCAUUUAAAGUGGUACGUGAGCUGGGUUUAAAACGUCGUGAGACAGUUUGGUCCCUAUCUGCAGUGGGCGUUGGAAGUUUGACGGGGGCUGCUCCUAGUACGAGAGGACCGGAGUGGACGAACCUCUGGUGUACCGGUUGUAACGCCAGUUGCAUAGCCGGGUAGCUAAGUUCGGAAGAGAUAAGCGCUGAAAGCAUCUAAGCGCGAAACUCGCCUGAAGAUGAGACUUCCCUUGCGGUUUAACCGCACUAAAGAGUCGUUCGAGACCAGGACGUUGAUAGGUGGGGUGUGGAAGCGCGGUAACGCGUGAAGCUAACCCAUACUAAUUGCUCGUGAGGCUUGACUCU
rnacentral:rRNA from 1 species